rnacentral:rRNA from 1 species
GAGAUCGAUAGUGAACAAGUACUGUGAAGGAAAGGUGAAAAGAACCCCGGGAGGGGAGUGAAAUAGAUCCUGAAACUUUGUGCUUACAAAGAGUCGGAGCGCUUCGGCGUGACGGCGUGCCUUUUGGAGAAGGAACCAACGACUUACGUAUACGUGGCAAGGUUAAGACAGAUAUAGUCGGAGCCGAAGGGAAACCAAGUCUGAAUAGGGCGAUUUUAGUCACGUAUAGUAAACCCGAAACCCGUGUGAGCUAUUCAUGGCCAGGCUGAAGGUGGGGUAACACCUACUGGAGGGCCGAACCAAUUGGAGCUGCAAGUCCACUGGAUGAGCUGUGAAUAGGAGUGAAAAGCUAAUCGAACCGGGAGAUAGCUGGCUCUCCGCGAAAUAUAUUUAGGUAUAGCGUAUAAUAGUAACCAAGAGGGGUAGGGCUCUGAUAAGACUAGCGGGUUUAUUCCAACUUAGCAAAUCUUGAUAAACUUCGAAUACUCUUGGCGGAAUAUUAUACAGUCGGACAGUGACGGAUAAGCGCCAUUGUCAAAAGGGAAACAGCCCAGAUUCCUAUCUAAGGUCCCCAAGUUAUAACUCAGUGGAAAAGGAUGUGCGAUUACUAAGACAGCCAGGAUGUUGGCUUAGAAGCAGCCAUUCAUUCAAAGAGUGCGUAAUAGCUCACUGGUCGAGUGAUUGUGCGCCGAAAAUUCAGCGGGGCUUAAGUUAUACACCGAAGAUGGAAGAUUUAUACAUUAGUAUGGAUCGGUAGCGGAGCGUUCUGUAAGCCUGUGAAGCAGUUGGGUAACCAACUGUGGAGGUAUCAGAAGUGCAAAUGUUGGUAUGAGUAACGUAAUGGAGGUGAAAACCCUCCACACCGAAUACCCAAGGUUUCCUGUCCUACGUCAGUCGUGGCAGGGUUAGUCGGUCCUAAGGUGCACCCGAAAGGGGCAAGCCGAUGGAUAUCUGGUUAAUAUUCCAGAACUAUAUACAAGAGGUUAUUACCUAUGUGGGGACGCAUCGCGAAUAUCGGACACUCUCAUGGAUAUGAGUGAAGAGUAAUGCUUUUGGUUGUGUAGGCAAAUCCGCACAACAAUACAAGAGGGUUAUGAUUCCUUACCCAAUACUUCUUCGGAAGGGAUAAGUAAGGUCCUGUGAUAUGAAGGUGCCAAGAAAAGCUACUCUGGGACGAAUGUAUAUAACCGUACCGUAAUCGAACACUCGUGGGUGGAUGUGAGUACAUUAAGGUGGACGGGAUAACUGAGCUUAAGGAACUCUGCAAAACAGCGGUCGUAACUUCGGGAUAAGACCUGCCUCCUCAGCAUUUAUCUGAGAGGCCGCAGCUAACGAGUCCAGGCGACUGUUUACCAAAAACACAGCUCCGUGCUAAAUCGCAAGAUGAUGUAUACGGGGUGAUGCCUGUCCGGUGCCAGAAGAUCACGGGGAGGGGUGCAAGCUCUGAACCUAAGUCCUGGUGAACGACGGCCGUAACUAUAACGGUCCUAAGGUAGCGAAAUUCCUUGUCGGGUAAGUUCCGACCCGCACGAACGGCAUAACGGUCUGGACACUGUCUCAAGCUCAGGCCCGGUGAAAUUACAAUAUCGGUAAAAAUGCCGAUUACUCGCAGCAAGACGGGAAGACCCUAUGAAGCUUUACUCUAGUUUGGCAUUGAGUCGUACGUAUAUUUGUGCAGGAUAGGUGGGAGACGCUGAAGGUGGAACGCUAGUUCUACUGGAGUCAUCCUUGAGAUACCACCCUUGUAUACGUAUGCCUCUAACCCGCCCAAGGCGGGGACCGUGCUUGAUGGGGAGUUUAACUGGGGCGGUUGCCUCCUAAAAUGUAACGGAGGCGCACAAAGGUAGGUUAGAUUCGGAUGGAAAUCGGAUCGAUAGUGUAUUCGCAUAAACCUGCUUGACUGAGAGACCUACAAGUCGAUCAGAGACGAAAGUCGGUGAAAGUGAUCCGGCACCAACACGUGGGAGUGGUGUCGCUCAACGGAUAAAAGUUACUCUAGGGAUAACAGGCUGAUCGCGUCCAAGAGUUCAUAUCGACGACGCGGUUUGGCACCUCGAUGUCGGCUCGUCGCAUCCUGGGGCUGGAGAAGGUCCCAAGGGUAUGGCUGUUCGCCAUUUAAAGCGGUACGCGAGCUGGGUUCAGAACGUCGUGAGACAGUUUGGCCCCUAUCUGCUGUGAGCGUUUAGAUACUUGAUGAGACCUGUUCCUAGUACGAGAGGACCGGAAUGGACGAACCCCUGGUGGAUCGGCUGUCAUCCAAUGGCACCGCCGAGUAGCUAAGUUCGGAAUGGAUAACCACUGAAAGCAUAUAAGUGGGAAGCUGACUCAAAGAUAAGGUAUCUCACCAGAUUUAGU